AUUGAACGCUGGCGGCAGGCCUAACUCAUGCACGUCGAACGAGUGGCGGACGGGUGAGUAAGGUCUGGGAAUCUGACUGAUGGAGGGGGAUAACUACUGGAAAAGGUAGAUAAUACCGCAUACCCUCAGAUGGACCAAGAUGGGAUUAGCUUGUUGGUGGGGUAACGGCUCACCAAGGCGACGAUCACUAGCUGGUCUGAGAGGAUGACCAGCCAGACUAGAACGGAGAAACGGUCCAGACUCCUACGUGAGGCAGCAGUGGUGAAGAUUGCAUAAGGGGCGAAAGCUUGAUGAAGCUAUGCCGCGGGGAUGAAGAAGGCCUGCGGGUUGUAAAGUACUUACAGCGGGGAGGCGUUACCCGCAGAAGAAGUACCGGCUAACACCGUGCCAGCAGCCGCGGUAAUAC
rnacentral:rRNA from 1 species